GACGAACGCUGGCGGCGUGCUUAACACAUGCAAGUCGAACGAGUGGCGAACGGGUGAGUAACACGUGGGUGAUCUGCCUUGCACUUCGGGAUCAGCUUGGGAAACUGGGUCUAAUACCGGACAGUUGGGGAUGGGGUCGCGGCUUAUCAGCUUGUUGGUGGGGUGAUGGCUACCCAGGCGUGAGGGGUAGCCGGCCUGAGAGGGUGGUCGGCAACAUGGGGACUGGGAGACGGCCCAGACUCCUACGGGAGGGAGCAGUGGGGGAUAUUGCACAAUGGGCGCAAGCGUGAGGCAGCGACGCCGCGUGAGGGAUGAAGGCUUUCGGGUUGUAAACCUCGUUCGGUACAGAACGGGUAUGUGCAGAAGAAGCGCCGGCUAACUACGUGCCAGCAGCCGCGGUAAUAC
rnacentral:rRNA from 1 species